UGGGGAAUAUUGCACAAUGGGCGCAAGCCUGAUGCAGCCAUGCCGCGUGUAUGAAGAAGGCCUUCGGGUUGUAACGCACUUUCAGCGGGGAGGAAGGCGAUAAGGUUAAUAACCUUGUCGAUUGACGUUACCCGCAGAAGGAGCACCGGCUAACUCCGUGCCAGCAGCCGCGGUAAUACGGAGGGUGCAAGCGUUAAUCGGAAUUACUGGGCGUAAAGCGCACGCAGGCGGUCUGUCAAGUCGGAUGUGAAAUCCCCGGGCUUAACCUGGGAACUGCAUUCGAAACUGGCAGGCUAGAGUCUUGUAGAGGGGGGUAGAAUUCCAGGUGUAGCGGUGAAAUGCGUAGAGAUCUGGAGGAAUACCGGUGGCGAAGGCGGCCCCCUGGACAAAGACUGACUCUCAGGUGCGAAAGCGUGGGGAGCAAACAGG
rnacentral:rRNA from 1 species